GAGAACUGCGCCAUGUUCACUUGCAUUUACAACCGACGUCGGAGGUGUUUACCGCGUGGUUAAUUGGAGGAAAAUGCGUUUUUUGUGGGCAUGAGCAUCCUGUCACAUUUAUUGAUCACUGUGCAAAUGAGCUUGAGGCAAUGGGGAUGGAUCUUGUGCUGCAACAGAGUCCAGUAGCAAUCAAUUCUACUCUGACACAGUUUAUCAUUUGUGGUGGUGGUGAUGAUGAUGAUGAUGAUGAUGAUGAUGAUGAUGAUGUGCAAGAGAUCUCUGUUGAGCCAACCUCAUACUCUGCAGCAAGAUCAUGGUGGAUGUCUGCAGUUGUCAGGGAGUGCCUAUGUGCACUUGAUAAUGAAUCACAGUUGAAUAUGUGGACCCCUUUCUCCAACAUUAGUUUGUGGGGCUUGAUGCCGGUCAUUGAGGGGACGGAAUGUAUGCACUUGAUGAGCAGGCUGAGCUAUACCAAUUUCUGCUUGAGAUAGUGACCAGUAAGGUCCCAUAGACUGUUAGAGGAAGCUUAUUUCGAAGGUAUAUUGUCACUACUAAGUCAAAAUAUGACUAGUGGUGCUGAGGUCAAGAGUCAGCUAGAGUUGUAGUCAUGUGAUUGGCUAUUGGCAAUACUUGCCAACUUAUUGGAGGCAUUCGUGACGUUCAUAAUUGAUGCGGACUGGCAGUGGUGUUUGCCUGGUCUCGUGGAAGGCAUAGGUUUCUUCCGGAUGGGGGGUAGGUGUGGCUUGCAGUCACUAGAAGGUGCAGCUCUUCAGAUGACUAAAAGGUUGUCUUCACUCAUCGCACAACGCUAAUACCGGCUGUGGGAUUCAAUGUACGUGCUGUGUUUACUAGUCGUGUUGCCGCUGCUGCUGUCUGUGCUGUUGGCUCAUUCCGUGCGGCGACUGUUGGCCAAUGCGUCACUGUCGCUGACUGCCCGGCGUGGUGCGUGCAGAUGUUGUCAUCAAAGUUCACUGGUCGGUGGCCCAGACGGUGCUGCGGACAGGAACUUCGUAGCUUCACCACGAGAUGUCAGCUUCAGUGUCGUGUUGGUUGCUGCUUGGUGUAGCUUGUCUGCUGUCGAAACUCUCACGUGGCUGGAACUGGUGCUGUAUCGAAUUACUUCCUGACCCACAUUCUUUGACACGGCUGCUGAGCUCAUCUUCAUGAUGUCAUGACGUCACUCAACAAUAACAUUAGCCAUUCGCAUUAUCGCCUACGUAUCAGUUCAUGGGUGCACAUCAAUUUACACGAUCUUAAAAAACGGAUCAAAGCCAGUUCGUGUGCAGUCACAGUACAACAUUUCUGUGAUACGCUUGUAAUGAACUUGCGAUUGGUUAUGUCAAUAAUGUCUACCCGUGUAUCUCUUUAGUAUUCACUUUGCUCUUUUUUUCACAGGAAUUUAUGCGCUUGUACUCAACAGUACAGUUUAUUAACACUAUCCCUGUUGCCUGAUACUGGCGAUUACUUUUAAUUAUGAGGGGUUAUUACGUUCUAUUAUCCUGUAAUUAUGUCGUAAUACCAUGUCUGAAGGUUCUUACAAAGAUUUUCAAAAUGAAAACUAAGAUUGUCUUGGACACAAUUUUUCAAUUGCUCGUGCAUAUGUAAACUAAUGGGAAGUUUUCAUUACCAUUUCAACUUUUGCUUAUUGUCUUAACACUUUCCAUGUUCUUUCACGAUUUUUAAACCAUUUAUUGUUAUUCUCCUCUUAUUGGCUGUCUAAAAUUGCACAAUGUCCUUUCAUGGUAUGCCACAAUGAAACACUCUUUUCCUUUUUUUAACCCACCAUUAUUGACUAGUGAAUUAUAGGCUAAUCAAGGAAAGCGUUUCUGAAGAAGAAAAAUUUAACAUCGAGUAUUGAUUUAAAUGUCAGGAAGUCGUUUCUGAAGGUAUUUGUAUGGAGUGUA